AACCUCAUUCCGCCCCAUCUGUCCACUCACAGGACGGGGCGGAGCUGCCACUCUCUCUCUCUCCCUCCCUCUUCUGUGCAACCUCUGUUUUGGCAAAUGGCCUUUUGGCCAAAAAAGAAAAAUAAAAAGGCAGCCAGACUUCCAGCUACAGAAUAACAAGUAUCUAUUGCCAGACAACGGGAGGGACAAAAUAUUCAGACACAUGGGCAAUUUCCUGUUGGCUGGUGACAAGAUAAAAGUGCUUUCAUAUACUUGUGGAUGACUUGGCUCUCCGAGCCCCAGCCUUCUCCUCAUCUCCCAGUUCCCCCUCACAUGCUGCCUUUCAGCGAGUCAGAGCGGUGCCAACCCAGAGCAGCACUCACAAAGAAGUGAAGAACAGUUCUUAAGAGCAAAAGCCUUGGAACCAGACUGGUUUGGAUCCCAGUUCUGACAGCCCAGCGAGGGGCCCCAGCGUGACUUCAAAGGGAACAACUCUAAGCGCCGGAUGACAACGUCGAUACCAAGUCCAGCCCCACCUCCAAUACUCUCGGCCGCCACCACAGCGCAGGCCCAGCUUUGGGCACCUGGGAUCCGUUGGAGGCUGUGACCUUGGGCAUUCGCCACGCCCCCCUGAGCCUCAGUUUCCCCGGCUGUUAACUGGGAGAUCGCUUCCUUGGUUUGAAGAGAUUUGGGGUCUGGGGACCUGGAGGUGCUCGGUCUCAGCAGUUGCGCGUGUAAAGCUCUCAGCCCCUAGGACCUUGACUCAUCAUGUUGGUCUCCAGCGAGUCGGAGGCCAGCCCAGCUCAGCCCAGAUUCAAGAGUGAAGGGGUUAGAUUUCUCCGACUUGAUGGGAAGUGGCAAGGGCACGGGUGGCGGGGCUUGUGGAGUGGGAAAUAUUGUGACCAUCUUUAGAAACGGCAAUCUACAACAGUUUUCGACUGUUAAAUGCAAUAAAGAUACUAAUCUUUGGUCUCCAUUCUGCAGAAAAAGAAACUGAGGCUUACAGAAACGAAGCCUUCCCCGAGGCCUCUUAUCCUCAUCCUCUUCUCCUGCCUGACCCCCUGGUAGCACUCAGAGAAUAAAGCGUCUGCCUGCAAUGCGGGAGACCUGGGUUCGAUCCCUGGGUUGGGAAGAUCCCCUGGAGAAGGAAAUGGCAACCCACUCCAGUAUUCCUGCCUGGAGAAUCCCAUGGACAGAGGAGCCUGGUGGGCUACAGUCCAUGGAGUUGCAAAGAGUUGGACACGACUGAGUCACUUCAUACUUCACUUCAAGGAUCCAAAGUGUUUCUAGAUCUUUGCUAUUUUUAAGCAGGGGAAAAAAAAAAUAGCAUGGAGAAUUGUUGCUUGGAAAACCACUGGAAAAGGUGGAGGAGUGGACAUUAGACCGGGCCCCCAGGAAAGAGCAACACCAGCGGGCAAGGGGAGUGGCCCCUCAGUCACCAGCGGGAAGAUAAGUGUCAGGGGCAAACUAGUGAAAAGAAUGAAUUUUAGAGCACAUUGCCAGAGACAGUGACCCCAGGAUCAGAAAGCUGCCACUGCAGCUGCCUUCCACAAAACAGGCCACUGGACACCAGAAGGCAGGGUCAGGCUGAGGCUUCUGUCACCACUAACCGUCCACACUCGUGGGCUGGCAACAGGACACCUGGAUUCUGCUGCAGAAAACCCCACAUCUCUGCCAACUUGUUGACCAGCAGCAAACAACCCAAGCCACAGGAGGAUGCCUCUGCCUUCAAAAUAUUUUAUGAGUGCAUCCAGUUAACAGAAAGAAAUUAGUACCCAGAAACCUAGCUGCAAAGGAAAAUUAUAGCCAUUCUGACCAGAAGGUGCACAAGAAAGGGAUGGGAAUGCAUGUGCCCAAAUUCAGUACCCCGAGACCGCCCUCUAACCUGCCCCCACCUUGUCUCACUGGGUAGAACUGAGUCACAUGAUACUGUUAGCUGCAGGGAAGUCUGGAAUUUGAGGAUCCUGCAAAGAAACAGACUUGGCUUAGAUCAGAGCAGGUACACUGUCCUCCUGAACACAGUUGGGAUUCUAUUGGCAGGGAGGUAGAGGAGGAUGGCUGGGGGGAUGGUAUGGGGGAAUGGUAAUUCCAGAAAGUGGAUGGGGCUGUGUGCCCAUGCAUGGUGGUGAGUGUCACAUGGGAAGUGCACGUGUACCAGGGCGAAGGGGAACAAGUCAGUGUGUGUAUGUGAGGGGGUUGAAAUGGAAAGGGGGCUGGAAUGCUGGAGGAAGAAGAAAGGAUUUUUCCCUUCUGAUGGAGGAAUUACUCUGCCCCAGUUUCCAGGAGAAUCUGCCUGGGGGUCCAGGGCCUCAGAGUUACUCACUGUGGCUCAUUUCUGUAGGAAUGUGGGAAGGUAGAUCUGGCAGACAGACUGUGUUAAAAUAAAAAGUGGACAAUAUUUAGGACAAAUUGCCUCAUUUUCUCCAAUUACAUAUUCUGAUUGUACCUGUGUAUUUAUUCCAGUUCUCUUUCUCUGUCAGAUUCUGCAGUGCCUAUUCUAAACAUUUUCUGCCCACCUGGGGUCCUCCCUCCUUCCCUGAUGCCUUUCUCUCUUGGCACACACCCUUGCCUCCUACCUCUCAGGGGAAGCCUGGUCUUAACCAAUGGCUCCAGCCCACCUCCUUGUUUCCCUCCACCAUCCUCCACCUCCUGCUUCAGUCCCCUUUUCCAAACCAAACCAAACUACUCAUUCCCACGUAUGGCUUCAUGCCUCCUCUCUGUUCAUUUCCAAUCAGCAUUCAUUAUUCUGAACACCUGCCAUGUUCCAACAGUGCCUAUACAGUGAAAAUAAGAUUCUGUUGUUUCGUGAGCUGGUGGUUAGCAUCACAACUUUG